AAAAUACUGAUGGAAAACGCACACAUACGUACUCUGCACGCUGGCCCUCAGUUAUUACUAUCAACUAUUCGCGAGCGCAUCUGGCCAACUAAAGGUAGAAUGUUAGCUUCAAAAAUUGUAAAUAAAUGCGUUCCGUGUUUUAGAGCAAAUCCAAAGACUACUAACCCUAUAAUGGGAGACUUACCCCCCUCGAGGGUUAACCCAUCCCCCCCCUUUGCUAUCACGGGUAUCGAUUAUGGAGGACCUUAUAACAUUAGAGAUAGGACAGGACGUGGUUACAAGGUCUAUAAGUGCUAUAUUGCAGUAUUUAUUUGUUUUGCAACAAAGGCAAUUCAUCUCGAAUUAAUUACAGGGCUCGAGUCAGCCAACUUCCUGGCGGCACUGCGACGGUUCAUCGCCAGGAGAGGUAAACCGAAGGAGUUGGACUUCUGGCGGCGCUGGUCACGUGACUACAUCGGAACGCUGCAAGAGCGCACGAAGUGGAGGAGCGCGCGCGGCCCAAGCCUCGCACUCGGCACCGUCGUCCUGGUGCGAGAAGAGCGCCUGCCACCCUGCCGGUGGAGGCUGGGCAAGAUCGUCGCGACGCAGCCGGGCCGGGAUGGCAUCACCAGGGUAGCCAUCAUCCGAACCGCCAGAGGAGACAUCCAACGCGCAUUCAAUAACAUUUGUCCUUUACCUACUUCGGGCCAAGUUAUAUAAGUAGUUAAUACCUACGAACCUAAUGU